rnacentral:sRNA from 1 species
CAUCGUGCACCAGGGGGAAGGUUGAGAACCUUCGACCAAGGUUCGAGUCGAGUGAAGCGAGACAACGUCGCUUGCGACGGCCCGAAGGGUGAGGAACGAAGUGACGAAUAAUCCUUCCCCCACCACCA